rnacentral:rRNA from 1 species
UACGUAGGGGGCAAGCGUUGUCCGGAUUUAUUGGGCGUAAAGCGCGUGUAGGCGGGUCUUUAAGUCAGGGGUGAAAUGCCAAGGCUCAACCUUGGAACUGCCUUUGAUACUGGAGACCUUGAGUCCGGGAGAGGUGAGUGGAAUUGCGAGUGUAGAGGUGAAAUUCGUAGAUAUUCGCAAGAACACCAGUGGCGAAGGCGGCUCACUGGCCCGGAACUGACGCUGAGACGCGAAAGCGUGGGGAGCAAACAGG